CGAACCAAACAGCCCCUUUUUUCUUUUUCUCCUUAAACCAACAGCCCUAACCAAAUGCUUAACUCAUCUCCUCUCUCUUCAACCUAACCAUGGCUGCCACCCCUUCGGCCCGUCACGUCCGUCACCUCACCACCACCAAACCCAUCCAACAGAACCCCAGGCCUCUCCCAUCACCUAUUUCCCAUCAAACUCUCUCUCAAUACAACAGAUACAAGCUAGGAUCGUCAGAUUCUCGCUCUCAACGGCUCUCUUCCUUUCCAAUCAGUCUGAAAAGGUGAGAUUCCCCCCCCCCCCCUUCAUCAUCUCCUCUGUCAGAAACGUCUCUGAGGAUUUUCCCACUUCUUGUUUGAAUUUCGAAUUCUUGGCUUCCUUGAGAAGCUGUUCAGCUCCUAAAUCUAGCUAUAAAUACAACCCUUUAGCUUUGUGUUUAAAUGAGUUUUUGAAGGCUAAAAAAAUCCCUCCUUUCGAACGAGCUUUUCAAUUGGGAGAAAAUCCUCUUCUCUUAUUUUUUUUUUUUUACAAGCUUUCUCAGUGGAAAACCUUCCUUCUUUCAUCUUAUGAGAACAAGGGAAAGAAAUCACUCUUUACAUUCUACUCUUUGACAUAAAAUAUAUUCCGAGAGGAGUUAACGAGCGGAUUCGGCGACUCGACAACGACGAAUCACCUCAGUUCGCUGCCCCGGAGAAGGUCAGUAACUUUCCUUUUCCCUACUUUUAUUUUAGUCCCAUGAGUGAAUGCAUAAAUAUCGAGGGUCUCUCGGAAACAGUGAGUAAUGUCUGCGUACACUCUACCCUCCCCAGACCCCACGUUGUGUGAUUUCACUGGGUUGUUGUUGUUGAGUGAAUGCAUAAAUAAUUGAACGUUGGUGUCGCUCGCCUAAUUUUCUGUUUAGGCGUUUGUUACAAUACUUGAUGUUGCCAUUUUAUUUAAUAUAAAUCAUGUACGUGUAAAAGGGCUACUGGAGCUUAAAGUAAAGUACUUAAGAGAAAUAUGGAUUCGACUUGUCGAAUAUAUGAAUAACUAUGUCCUCGUCUAAUUUUCCGCUUUUGCGUCUAUUAUAAACUGUGUGUUGCCAUUUUCACCAUAUAAAAGGCGAAAGGAACCAGAUCACUAAUAGAAGUCAUAAGAGUGAAGUUAGUUUGAAUGAGUAAUUAGGCGAUUGCUUUGUAGUUUGAAUGAGUAAUUAGGCGAUUGCUUUGGCUGUUUUGUUUCAAAUGUUUCUUUAUCCAUAUUUGGAGGCUGUUUCGCUCUAAUCUUUGUGAAAAACUAGUAUAAAAAAAAUGUAAUCAGUGAUAGCUUGCUAGUUGGUUUUAAAACACAGUCCAUACAUGUGGUUCUAGUGACUGUUUGUUUGCUGUUUUUAGCAUGGUAAUCCCCUUCGUCUCCCAUUUCGCUUCAGUUUAUAAAAUUAAAAUGUAGCCACUUGAAUAUUUUCAGAUUCCGUUCAAGUCUCUGUUAAGUGUGUGUAGAAUAUGUAAUCUCGUCUCUGUUUCUUCUAAAAUCAAGGUGUCCACAGGCUAGUACGAAUCAUGAGUUUAUUUAAGGAAAGAUAUCAUAUAUUUGGGGUUCAAAAUCUUUUUUCACUUGUAACUUGAAUUUGCAAUGUGUAUGAACUUCCCUAAUGAGUGAAAACUGGAAUAAAUUAGUUCGUAAUCUGUUAGGCCUAUGUUCUCAAGUUCUCUUUGCUUGAAAAUACUUUUUUUUUUGGAGUAUUAAACAAGGAUUAGUUUAACAACCUUAUUUCUAUAAUUAGUGCUUGAUCUCUACCAAAUAUCAUGUCAUGAUAUUUAAAAAAGAAGUAUGUAUCGAGAGAAUUUGUCUCAUUUGAAAGCUCCUCCUAAAAAAAACUUCUCAUGUAUAAAUAUUCGUAAAAUAUCCAAGUUCAAGUCUAGUUUGCCUUUUCUUUCAGUAGCUUCUCUGAAUGAAUCAUUACUUCUAGUAUUGUUUUGCCGGCUGAAAGUCAAGGCAAACCUUGGGUUUUGGUUUAGCCCCUCCGAUAGCCUGCCAUGCCGAGGUUCUAGAAACCUUUGGAUCUUGUGCGGUAUUGGAAACAUGGAUGGUAGUAGCCUCCUUUGUUGCCUCAGUCUUUUAAGCCUGCUGCUUUGUUCUAUAUGUUUAUGGACAGUCUUAUAGAUAUUAAAAUGUUUCCCUGUUUCUGUUGUGUUGUGGGAUUAAGCUCAAGAUAUGUAUUUCUUAAAGGAUUAAUGUGUUUUAGCUAUUGGUCGCUGCCUUAAUGCGAGAUUAAUUUGUAUUAUGUUUGAAUUUUGAGUUCGUGCUAUGAGUUAAUGAGGUACUGGAUUAAAGGCAUGUUUACAUUAACGUAAAUAACAAAACUAGCAAUUCAUACUUUAACUUAGGAAUCUUUUAAUCUGUUUCUCUUUUAACCUGUAUGAGAUUAGGAUGUUUUCUUUAAAAACUGUCUGUUAAAAUCAGAGUUUAGGUGAUCUAAACUUACCAUUAAAUUAUGUAUCAUAUUUAUAUGCUUAUAGUUUGAGCUUCAGUUGUUAUCCUAGUAUUAAAGCAUCAAAUAUGUUUUAGAAGUUGGUCUCCUUUACAUCACUAGUUGAUCUGUUUUUUUCAGUUUAAGCUAGUCUCCAGUUGUUCCUUCAGUUACUGUGUUAUGAACUAAAUAUAUAUUCUUGUGUAUUAAUUGCCAGAAAAUAGUGAGUUCUGUUCAUUUAAGUUCAGUUAGGUGUUUAAGAUUUUUCACUUGAGAUAACUAAGUCUAGUAUAAUUUGUUGAUCCUGUUGGUUGUUGGAUCCUGUAAUUCCCUCCUGUUAGAAGAGAUGUUAGCAUAACUGACUGUUGUUUCCCAGUUAUAAAACCUGAACCUUUCGUUAUCUUCAAAUUGAUCCUGAGUUGUAUGUUCAAAUUCUUUCCUUAAACUUUGGGUCAUAAUCUUGUUCAGUUCUGUCUAUUCAAUGUGUGAUUAACUCAUGAUCAAAUUGUGAUGAGAUUAGUGUGAAGUUUUUAUUAGAUAUAGCUACAUGUAUCCUGGUACAUCUUUGAUUGACUUAAGGAUAAAGAAUCAGUUCCAAGCUAUGUUUACAGUCAUGUUCUAUGUUGAGCUUCCCAUGUGUUAAAUAUCUAGUCUUGUUCGAAAAGUGUUGUUUCUAAUAGCUUCAAGUUCCCGUUAAACUAGUCUAAAAUUAAAUGUGAGAUGUGCUUGGUUAAGACAUUUGGAUUUAGCUAUUUUUUUUUCUAUGGAUUAUCAACUUAAAGAAUGGGAUAUCAACUUAACCUUUAUCAAGUUCAUUAGAUUUCCCAAUUGCUCAAACAGUAGCUUUCUUGUAAGCAUCAUUAAACUUCCUUUCAUGUAACUGCAUAUGCUAGGUUAGUUGAUUUCAUGAAAUAAGACUCUCUUGAUCUAUUUAUGAUCCUUUUGAUGGAUAAAUGUAGCAUGAUAUUAAUGUUUAAAACUGUUGAAAUGAGAAAAAAGGGAAUUAGAUACUAGGCUGUGAUACUUCAUUUUUGAUGAAGCUAGGCUGUGAUACUUCAAUAUUUGGACAGAUUUUAAGAACACCAAUUUCACGUUGUAUGUUUUGACUGUAUGUUGAAAUUCAGUGACUGUUUUGAUAUAUUUAACGUGCCUACCUUGGAAUAUUGAGACUACUCACUUUGGAUACUCAUUCUUCACCCUUCCUCUUCUUUGCAUGACCUGGGGAGUCUUCAAACCUCCUUGAAUUGUUGUCUUGGCUGUCACACUUGAUAAGCUCACUGGCAUGGCAAGUUGUUUGCUGCUGAACUUAAAAAAGGAUAGAUCUUACACCAGACUAAAGAAUGGUGUCGUUUGGCAUAUGCUGCUACUGCACUUGGUUGUUAGGCUCGCUGGAUAUACUUGUUGUUAUAUCGGACAGCUGCUACAUGUUGCUACUCGAUGUUGCUGCACUGCGCAGCAGAUAAUCGUUGGCAUUUUUUAGGAUGAAGGCAAUAUAAGUGUUUGUUAUGUGUUGUUGAUUGGGCUGAAAGGGACUGAUACUACACUGCUGCUACAUCCUUUGAGCCCACUGCUAUACAUUGAGGAAUCUCAGUUGCGACGCUGGGAUGAAUUGCUUGUGGCCUUGUGGGUACUGUCUUUGAGUAGGGCUGACUGUUACAUUCACAUAUCUCAUUUAGUGAGGAGAGAUUUCGUUACUUUUGGUGAACUACCUGUCGUGCUGCGAAUACCAUGCUUGGCUGUUGUAUUUGAGAUGCGGCACUUUGCCAAAUAGUGGCUGCUAUAUUUUCCCGAUAAGCCAUUGUUUUCUGUUUUAAAAGAAACAAGUUUUUACACUUGUGGAAAUUCCUACUGAUUCGAACACGAUACUACACCUGGGCCAAUGUUUUUUUUUUUUUUUGAGGCCAUGCCUAGCCCGGAAAGGUUAUCCCUCGGCUUAGGCAGUGAUGAUCUCACAAUUAUAUCACGAGGUAGGAACCAACAUGCGCUUGGCAAGGCAACUAGAAUGGCCACUAGUUUGUAGCCGCAACAUGAUUCAGGUUCCUUUGCCAUAUUCGGAACCGUGAGUCUGAUACGAGUCCGCGGGAUAUUAUUUAUGUUCAUAAACGUCACCCUAUGACGGGGUGGCGUAUCAUUUUUUUUCUAACAUUUUCCUUUCAUAUUUUUUGCGAGGUACAAAUAACGCGAGGCAAUAGAACAAAGAUGUACCAAAAGUUGAAGCGAAGAAAUUUAGGAGCACGGCAUGUUUGGCAGAAGAACUAGAAAGGGGGCAAAUAGGGCUCAAGUCUAAAACCUUAUUUAUUUCUAUCUAAAUUCAUGUAUCCAAGUAUUACAUGUAUAUUUGGAUCUAUAACAAAAUUGCUAACUUAUUUACUUUGGUUUUCCUUCUUAAUCCAGUUGAAACCCGAAGCUUGCCAAUUUGGUAUUUCGCGAUUAGUUAAAGUUAAGAUUGAUUUAAUUUCGUAUUAUUAUUAGUGUUGAGUUAAUGGCAGGUCUAAACUAACGAAUCAAUUCUCGAGCAAGAACAAAUGGUUUUUCUAUCAUUGUGGCCCAAAUAAUUGGCCCAAAGUAGUUGAUGGGACUUUCCUAAAGGCAACAUACAAAGGGACCAUGGUCACAGCUGCCACACAAGAUGCAAAAGGACAAAUUUGGCCACUUGCUUACGAAAUUGUUGAUUCAAAGAAUGAUGCAUCAUGGGAGUAUUUCUUCACACGUUUCAAAGAGGUAUAUUGAGAAAGGGAUGGAAUGUGUAUUGUCUCUGAUAGACACGACAGUAUAGCUAAGGGCACUACAACUGUUUAUCUAGCAGUCCCUCACUGUGUCUGUAUAUGGCACUUGUGGAACAAUAUAAAAGGGAACUUCAAAAAGGACAAGAAACUUAUUAAAGACAUAUACUUUGCGUUGUCAAAAGCAUACACCAUUCAUGAAUUCAACAAUCUUAUAAAACAGUUAGAUGUUAUUGAUCCCAAGGUAAAACCCUACUUGCAAGAAGUUGGAUACCAAAAAUGGUCCCGGGCACAUUGCACAGCUAACCGAACAACAACAAUGACAUCAAACAUUGUAGAAUCGAUUAAUUCAGCAACCAAGCAUGCAAGAGAGCUCCCGUUUACUGAUUUGCUUGACUAUAUGACAAAUUUGGUGCAGAAAUGGCA